CCUACGGGGGGCAGCAGUGAGGAAUAUUGGUCAAUGGGCGCGAGCCUGAACCAGCCAAGUCGCGUGAGUGAAGAAGUAUUUCGGUAUGUAAAGCUCUAUCAGCAGGGAAGAAAAUGACGGUACCUGACUAAGAAGCCCCGGCUAACUACGUGCCAGCAGCCGCGGUAAUACGGAGGGGGCAAGCGUUAUCCGGAUUUACUGGGUGUAAAGGGAGCGUAGACGGUGCAGCAAGUCUGAUGUGAAAGGUCGGGGCCCAACCCCGGGACUGCAUUGGAAACUGUUGAACUGGAGUACAGGAGAGGUAAGCGGAAUUCCUAGUGUAGCGGUGAAAUGCGUAGAUAUUAGGAGGAACACCAGUGGCGAAGGCGGCUUACUGGACUGUAACUGACGUUGAGGCUCGAAAGCGUGGGGAGCAAACAGGAUUAGAUACCCGGGUAGUC
rnacentral:rRNA from 1 species